rnacentral:rRNA from 1 species
UGGGGAAUCUUGCACAAUGGGCGAAAGCCUGAUGCAGCGACGCCGCGUGCGGGAUGAAGGCCUUCGGGUUGUAAACCGCUUUCAGCAGGGACGAGGCCGCAAGGUGACGGUACCUGCAGAAGAAGCCCCGGCUAACUACGUGCCAGCAGCCGCGGUAAUACGUAGGGGGCAAGCGUUAUCCGGAUUCAUUGGGCGUAAAGCGCGCGUAGGCGGUUUGUUAUGUCAGGAGUUAAAUCUGGGGGCUCAACCCCUAUCCGCUCCUGAUACCGGCAGGCUUGAGUCUGGUAGGGGAAGGCGGAAUUCCAAGUGUAGCGGUGAAAUGCGCAGAUAUUUGGAAGAACACCGGUGGCGAAGGCGGCCUUCUGGGCCACGACUGACGCUGAGGCGCGAAAGCUAGGGGAGCGAACAGG